CCUACGGGAGGCAGCAGUGGGGGAUAUUGCACAAUGGGGGGAACCCUGAUGCAGCGACGCCGCGUGGGUGAAGAAGCGCCUCGGCGCGUAAAGCUCUGUCAGCAGGGAAGAAAAUGACGGUACCUGAAGAAGAAGCCCCGGCUAACUACGUGCCAGCAGCCGCGGUAAUACGUAGGGGGCAAGCGUUAUCCGGAUUUACGGGGUGUAAAGGGGGCGCAGACGGCGAUGCAAGCAAGGGGUGAAAGCCCGGGGCUCAACGCCGGGACUGCUCUUGGAACUGCGUGGCUGGAGUGCAGGAGGGGCAGGCGGAAUGCCUGGUGUAGCGGUGAAAUGCGUAGAGAUCAGGAGGAACACCGGUGGCGAAGGCGGCCUGCUGGACUGCAACUGACGUUGAGGCCCGAAAGCGUGGGGAGCAAACAGGAUUAGAUACCCCAGUAGUC
rnacentral:rRNA from 1 species